rnacentral:misc_RNA from 1 species
GAUGAAGAACGUAGCGAAAUGCGAUAAGUAGUGUGAAUUGCAGAAUUCAGUGAAUCAUCGAAUCUUUGAACGCACAUUGCGCCCCUUGGUAUUCCAUGGGGCAUGCCUGUUCGAGCGUCAUUUGUACCCUCAAGCUUUGCUCGGUGUUGGGUGUUUGUCCCGCGUUGCGCGUGGACUCGCCUUAAAGCGAUUGGCAGCCGGCAUAUUGGCCUUGGAGCGCAGCACAUUUUGCGCUUCUAGUCAUGAAUGUUGGCGUCCAUUAAGCCUAUACAUUUGCUCUUGACCUCGGAUCAGGUAGGGAUACCCGCUGAACUUAAGCAUAUCAAUAAGCGGAGGA